rnacentral:rRNA from 1 species
AGUGAACGCUGGCGGCAGGCCUAACACAUGCAAGUCGAGCGGCAGCGGGUCCUUCGGGAUGCCGGCGAGCGGCGGACGGGUGAGGAAUGCAUCGGAAUCUGCCCUGUCGUGGGGGAUAACCUAGGGAAACUUAGGCUAAUACCGCAUACGACCCACGGGUGAAAGCGGGGGAUCGCAAGACCUCGCGCGAUAGGAUGAGCCGAUGUCCGAUUAGCUAGUUGGCGGGGUAAAGGCCCACCAAGGCGACGAUCGGUAGCUGGUCUGAGAGGAUGAUCAGCCACACUGGGACUGAGACACGGCCCAGACUCCUACGGGAGGCAGCAGUGGGGAAUAUUGGACAAUGGGCGCAAGCCUGAUCCAGCCAUGCCGCGUGGGUGAAGAAGGCCUUCGGGUUGUAAAGCCCUUUUGUCCGGGAGGAAAUCGUCUGGGCUAAUACCCCGGGCGGAUGACGGUACCGGAAGAAUAAGCACCGGCUAACUUCGUG